CCGUGCCAUUUACCGAUGUGGUUGUCCUCGAUGUGCUCGAUGAGGUCGGCCAGGGUGGGGAAGUGGAGUCCGCAGCCCCCGAACCGGCAGCACCCCACUGCCCCAUCUCAGGUCUGGGAAUUAACCCAUCUGUCUCCCUGGGAGCAAGACUGUCUCAGCAGAAAGGACAGUGCAUUGGUUAAAGUUAGAAGGAGUGAAAACAGGGUCAAGGGACAUAUUUACUCUUCAUUUAAAUGAGAAGAGAGCCCUCCAAUCAAUCAAGAUUACACCAUCCUGAUUUCUCUAGAACUAAAUGAGUGAAAUAUCCAGCUGAUGACUGCCACUCUAAUUGUGCAUCACAGGUCUACCUCCCUGCUGCAGUCUGCCACACUGCCAUCCUGAUGAUAGCUCCAAACUCAGAUCUGAUGGGAUUUGACCAGCCCAGCCUGCAGGUUUAAGUAAGAUCAUAAGAGCAGCCAAGCAAUCAGUAUUUCAUUCGUUUCUUUAGCAUAUCUUGAUUGAAUAUCUGUGCAAGGCUCCUGUUGCACAACUCCAAAAGGUGUUAUUUAUGUAGGCAGCUGCAUGGAGAGUGACCCCAGGAUUUGUACAAUCCUGCAGUCCUGAUCCAUUGUGCAAGAUACAAAGGAUACAAUUUGAAUAAGACAAGUACAGUCUCUCCUUGCAUGAGGGAACACCAAAUGCUUUGCAAGCUCCUCCUGGAUCCUAUCUAGCAGCCUGCCAGGGGUGGCUUGGUGGACUCCGUGUACUGUCCUCUCGGUUGCUCUGGUGUCUGCUAUUUCCCUCCUUUCCAGCUUUGG